rnacentral:lncRNA from 1 species
AUACAGUUGUACUUACAAAAAAUGAGUUUUGGAGUUAACUGCCUUUUGGGGGCAUUGUAAAUCUUCUUUCCCCGUUGCUUUGUGUGGGCUAACAUCAGCCAAUCCAUUUUACUUAGUGGCCUUUGUGGAUUUUUCUAUCAUGUUUUAAUGACCCUUUUGUGCUGUAUUCAUUGGACCAAGUACAUAGGAGAGCUGUCUAUCACAGUUUAGCACUUUUUUUGCAGUCCGUUUUUGUCUGUGUGAGGCAGAGAAGUGUGAAGUUCUUCUUUCUCUUGGCUUUGUGAUUUUGAAGGUGGGUGAUGCCAGCCCUGAGAAGGUUAUUAUCCAUUCCCUUGAAAACUACUUAAGUUGGCUGUCUGUCUUAGACAAUUAUUUUGGGCUCUAGAUCUUGAAUAAAAACAAAUUUAUAUCACUGAAAACCUUGAUGCAGAUGCCCAUGUCUGACAAUUCUCCAUUCAUUCUCUAGGAAUUUGUUGCUGAACACCUCUAGAGGCAAGUGAUUAAGCAUUAUGUAGAAACAAGGUGCUACCAAUUACAAUUUUCUCCAGCAAGUGUAGAAAAACCUGAGUCCCACACCAGCUUUGAUUCAUUCAGUGCUAGAACUGGUACCUAAUGCUGGGUGUUGGGAAAAAUGCUGUUCUGGGGAGAUAUUUUGGUGGGUGAUGAUAAAAAAAAGAUGGAUGUUAAUUUUCCCAGAGUGGAUAGGAGUCAUGGAAUUUCUGGAAGCCUCUACUGUUCCAGUCAACCACCACUCAGAGCUUCAUGGAUUACUCCAGCACUCCACAGCUUUGAUUCCUGGUUCUUUCCCCCUCUUUCCACAUCCCCCUGGGCCCUGCCACCACAAGAAUGUAGAGCAGGAGGUACCAGGAAGACUGGAUCUUCAGUGGAAUGAUAAUU